rnacentral:rRNA from 1 species
GACGAACGCUGGCGGCGUGCUUAACACAUGCAGGUCGAACGGAAAGGCCCUGCUUUUGUGGGGUGCUCGAGUGGCGAACGGGUGAGUAACACGUGAGUAACCUGCCCUUGACUUUGGGAUAACUUCAGGAAACUGGGGCUAAUACCGGAUAGGAGCUCCUGCUGCAUGGUGGGGGUUGGAAAGUUUCGGCGGUUGGGGAUGGACUCGCGGCUUAUCAGCCUGUUGGUGGGGUAGUGGCUUACCAAGGCUUUGACGGGUGGCCGGCCUGAGAGGGUGACCGGCCACAUUGGGACUGAGAUACGGCCCAGACUCCUACGGGAGGCAGCAGUGGGGAAUAUUGCACAAUGGGCGGAAGCCUGAUGCAGCAACGCCGCGUGCGGGAUGACGGCCUUCGGGUUGUAAACCGCUUUCGCCUGUGACGAAGCGUGAGUGACGGUAAUGGGUAAAGAAGCACCGGCUAACUACGUG